rfam:Tetranychus urticae London genomic scaffold, scaffold_16
GCCGUCGUGGCGCAAUCGGAUAGCGCGUUUGGCUGUUAACCAAAAGGUUGGUGGUUCGAGCCCACCCGAUGGCG